UACGAAGGUGGCAAGCGUUGUUCGUAUUUACUGGGCGUACAGGGAGCGUAGGCGGUUGUGUAAGCCCUUCGUGAAAUCUCCGGGCCUAACCCGGAAAGUGCGGAGGGGACUGCUCGGCUAGAGGAUGGGAGAGGAGCGCGGAAUUCCCGGUGUAGCGGUGAAAUGCGUAGAGAUCGGGAGGAAGGCCGGUGGCGAAGGCGGCGCUCUGGAACAUUUCUGACGCUGAGGCUCGAAAGCGUGGGGAGCAAACAGG
rnacentral:rRNA from 1 species